rnacentral:rRNA from 1 species
GUGUUAAUAUUGACUCGACGGGCAGCUUCCGGGAAACCAAAGUUUAUAGGUUCCGGGGGAAGUAUGGUUGCAAAGCUUAAACUUAAAGGAAUUGACGGAAGGGCACCACCAGGAGUGGAGCCUGCGGCUUAAUUUGACUCAACACGGGGAAACUCACCCGGCCAGGACACAAUAAGGAUUGACAGAUUGAUAGCUCUUUCUUGAUUUUGUGGGUGGUGGUGCAUGGCCGUUCUUAGUUGGUGGAGCGAUUUGUCUGGUUAAUUCCGAUAACGAACGAGACUCUAGCCUAUUAAAUAGACGAUAUAUCUUAUUAGUAUAUCGAGCUUCUUAGAGGGACGAGCAGCUUCUAGCUGCACGAGAUUGAGCAAUAACAGGUCUGUGAUGCCCUUAGAUGUCCGGGGCUGCACGCGCGCUACAAUGAAAAUAGCAGCGCGUUUCGAAAACCUUUUCUGGAAAGUAUUGGUAAACGCGAAAUAUUUUCGUGAUUGGGAUAGGGGAUUGCAAUUAUUGCCCUUGAACGAGGAAUUCCCAGUAAAUUCGAGUCAUCAGCUCGAGUUGAUUACGUCC